rnacentral:rRNA from 1 species
AAAUUGCUGUGGUAUUUUGACUAUACAAAGGUAUUGAAAUAAGAUUUUAAUUGAAUGCUAAGAGAAUGGAAUUUCAGAAAAAAACUUUUUUCAAGUUAAAAAUUGAAAUUUUUUUAAUUUGUGCAGAAACAAUUAUUAAUAUUAAGGACAAGAAGACCCUAUGAAUUUAUAAAUUUUAUUUAAUAUGUAACUACUAUUGAAAAAAUUUUAGCUGGGGCGGCGGAAAAAUAUUUAAAACUUUUUUAAAAUAAAAUGACCCAUUAUUAAUGAUUAUAUGUUAAAUACUCUAGGGAUAACAGCGUUAUAUUUUUUGAUAGAUCAUAUUGACAAAAAAGUUUGCGACCUCGAUGUUGGAUUAGGAUACUUUUUUAAUGCAGAUAUUAAAAAAAGAAGUUUGUUCAAC